ACAGCUCACACCGAGGGCAGCCACAACCAUGGGACUGCCCUGACAGCCCUGCCCGGGCGGGAAACAGCAGCCAGCACUCGGACUCAAUGUCCUUGUGCUCCCUUCCAACUGAGGAUACUCCAUGAUUGUAUGAAAAACAAGUGUGGCUCUGUCACAGCCGUGUGUGGGCCAGGCCGGGAGCUCACCUGCACUGAACAGGCUGCAAGCAUUGCAGAGGAACGUGGGACUGCUGCUUGCUGCCCAAACGGCUCCUUCCCCUCCCUUUGAUCCAGCAGCUCAUUUAAAACAUUUCUGUCUGUCCUCUGAGUGCUUCAUUGUCAUCUCUGGCCAGUCCCCAGUCUGUCACUAAUUGGCACUGCUGUUGUCAGGCUUGGGAAUGAGGCCAGGGCCAGAAUGGGCAAGAAAAAUAAUCCCCUGCUCAUUCCCCAAAAAGGCUGGUUCUCAUUGGGAGCAUUGCUGAUACACACACAUGGCAAGGCUACAAAAAUCUGCUGCUGCCCCUGUUCUCUGGAAGCCCAGCUCGCUCUCGGGGGAUAUUGAUCUCAAUACGCGAUUUAAAAUGCAUUAAAUACAUUUUUUCUCUAUCUAUUUGAUAGAUAUAAUUAUGGUAGUCCCUAGAACAACAUGCCUGUUUGUAGACUGCCUUCAAAAUCAUCUAAUUUGUAUUGCCAGAUGGUAUGAAUGAUUGCUACAGAUAAACUUUGGAUACGUUCCAUUAUUAAUUGACAGAAGCAUGGUCACAGCAGAACGCUCAUCCCACACUGCCUAGCUGACAAUUAAUGGUUAAAAGAUGAAACUACUGAGGAAAAAAUGAGUCCCCUGAGUUCCAAGUCCCAUUUUAUAGCCUUGAGAACUAAAUUUAAAUAACCAAAAUGUAUUAUGCUUUCAGAUCUCUCUACCAACCUCCUUGCACUUGUGCAAUUCCCAGCCCUGCCAAUAGCUCUUUACAAACGAUGGGAUGCAGGCUUGGUGUGCCAUCCAGUGGGAUGGGAUGGGUGGAGUGUGACAGUCUUAUGGCAGGUUCAAGAAAUCACAGUUGUAACAAGCAAAUGUCUCCACUGAGGCUCACUGCAGAUGGCUGGUUUGGAGCUCAUCUUCCACAGAAAACACAAACGGAGCCAUUGCAACAAAGAGCACCAAAUGCUGGGUGUUGUAGACAUGAGACUUGCACUCAGAGCAAUGGUGAAGUCACCAGGAAAUGAGAAAACCUCAAAUCUAUGUGUUUUUGAACCCUGAUCUCAAAUGUUCAUGUCCUCAGUGAAUUAAGAAAAAGGUAAGAAAAAGCCAAGUAUUUACUGAUUAAAAUGUUCCAUUUUUCAAGCUAUUCUGCACAAUAUACACAGACAGAACCUUUUUUAAAAAAGGAGACAAGCUUUCUUAAAAGAAAUCCCCAGAUUUGGGAUAAAGAACAUUCACCAAUGACACAGACCUGAAAUACAAGUAGAUGAUGAAGGGUGUGCUAAGAUGUGAAAAGAGAAAAAGAAAUGCUUUUUAAGCUUCUUGACUUGCAAUGUUUUUUCCUCUUAGUACCUGCUGAACAGCAUGACAGAUCUUAGAAACAAUAUUUAUACUUAUAGCACAACUUUCAUCUGCAAACUCUUGCAUGUCAUACAGAUUUGCACACUCCUUUUCAUAAACACACAUCCUGAGCAUAAACAGCUGAAAAGGUAAAUAAAUUACUUCUCCUGAGGUAGGACAAAUGGCAGGCUGGCAGAGAACACCUAUAUGUGACCUAGAGACUGCUGUGAACAGGGCUGAAACUGCAGAAUGGGUUUUGCCGUGCCCUCCUGUACACAUGGAAUGGCUAUAAUGAUUUGCAGUGAUCACAAAUAUCCCAGUUCAAAAGCUGAGCUGUGGAUCCACAUCUUCAGUGAUGGUAGGACACUGAUUUGUAUGUGCAGGAGGUAAACAUGCCUGGCAAAAAAAACCCCAACUUGUGAAGGGCGCAGAUUUCCUUUUUGUUUUAUUUCAGGUCCAGCCUCAUGCUAUGCUCUGGUGUGUUUCUGACCUCGUUCCUCAGGCCUAGGCAUGGCUGCCUUUCCUCUGGCUGGUAUCUGUGGCAUAAACACAAAGGUGAUACCCACAGUCAGCAUCAGAUCUGACUGUUCCCGACAACUCCUGUGAUACAGCAACCUCAGGGACUCGAGGACACAUCUGCCCAUGAUGAUCCUCAAGGCUGACAGAUGAAGACACAUGCAUUGAGGAGAGACAGCGUCGGUGAUUAUGGAUCUUAUAACCCACUUGGGCCAUUAACUCUAGGAACUGUCAGUAUUCUGCCCCUUCCAGAAGGAAUUCACAGGUAAACAGAAAUUACUUGUUGAUUGGGCCUGCCAGCACCAGAAUACAGUUUCCAGGGAGACAUGAGCACUAGGAGGAAGGAUGGGAAGACACAGAGCACCUCUCUACUGUGUAGGCAUGGCACCUACCACAAAGCCGUGGUGUUAAACUUGGCACAAUCCAUGGAUGGAACUCCAGAGAACAAACUCUCUGAUCACAUCAGCAUGAAUAAAUAGAUGAGACCCUACCACCCAAACAGUGCAAAGAUGGACUAACCCUCACUCAUGACUGUGCACCAGAAAAUUGCUUUAUUCAUUCAUUCAAAAUCUUCUUCAGAACCUGUUCCUGGUCCCACAGAUACAGGGACACAGCAGUCCCAGCUGAUAAACCCAGCAGCAGCAGCACCUUGCCCCUCGGUCUCACCUCACGGCUCCAGGAAAAUUAAUGGGAAGCCUGAAUCAAGUCCUUUAAAAAUAAAAAGGAGAGCACAGCUCCAGGAAGCUGAUGGCAACAUUGAUAAUGAAAACACAGAAGACAUUUCAUUUAAGACAAGAACUCCAGCUUGCUUGGAACAGGAGGGAAUUCUGCCUGCUCGCUAUUCCUCUGUUCUCCCCCAUCACCUCCCGUGUACCAUCAGCUCCUUCUUUGCUCACACUCCCAGCCCUUUGUUCAGUCCUUAGAGCCGAGUCUGGGGAUGGGAGAUGGGGACAAGGGGGAACAGAGCUAGUGCCAGGUCUGACA